AGCGAACGCUGGCGGCAGGCCUAACACAUGCAAGUCGAACGCACCUUCGGGUGAGUGGCGGACGGGUGAGUAACACGUGGGAACGUACCUUUUGGUUCGGAACAACACAGGGAAACUUGUGCUAAUACCGGAUGAGCCCUAUGGGGGAAAGAUUUAUCGCCGAAAGAGCGGCCCGCGUUAGAUUAGCUAGUUGGUGGGGUAAAGGCCCACCAAGGCUCCGAUCUAUAGCUGGUCUGAGAGGANGAUCAGCCACACUGGGACUGAGACACGGUCCAGACUCCUACGGGAGGCAGCAGUGGGGAAUAUUGGACAAUGGGCGCAAGCCUGAUCCAGCCAUGCCGCGUGGAUGAUGAAGGCCUUAGGGUUGUAAACUCCUGUCAUUUGAGAACAAGGUGCAUCGGUUAACUGCCGGUGCAUUGAUAGUAUCAGAAGAGGAAGAGACGGCUAACUCUGUGCCAGCAGCCGCCGUAAC
rnacentral:rRNA from 1 species